rnacentral:rRNA from 1 species
GACGAACGCUGGCGGCGUGCUUAACACAUGCAAGUCGAACGGUGAAGCUCCAGCUUGCUGGAGUGGAUCAGUGGCGAACGGGUGAGCAACACGUGAGCAACCUGCCCCUGACUCUGGAAUAAGCGCUGGAAACGGCGUCUAAUACUGGAUACGAGAAGGGUCCGCAUGGGCACUUUCUGGAAAGUUUUUCGGUUGGGGAUGGGCUCGCGGCCUAUCAGCUUGUUGGUGAGGUAAUGGCUCACCAAGGCGACGACGGGUAGCCGGCCUGAGAGGGCGACCGGCCACACUGGGACUGAGACACGGCCCAGACUCCUACGGGAGGCAGCAGUGGGGAAUAUUGCACAAUGGGCGAAAGCCUGAUGCAGCGACGCCGCGUGAGGGAUGACGGCCUUCGGGUUGUAAACCUCUUUCAGCAGGGAAGAAGCGAAAGUGACGGUACCUGCAGAAGAAGCACCGGCUAACUACGUG